rnacentral:rRNA from 1 species
UGGGGAAUAUUGGACAAUGGGCGAAAGCCUGAUCCAGCCAUGCCGCGUGUGUGAAGAAGGUCUUCGGAUUGUAAAGCACUUUAAGUUGGGAGGAAGGGCAUUAACCUAAUACGUUAGUGUUUUGACGUUACCGACAGAAUAAGCACCGGCUAACUCUGUGCCAGCAGCCGCGGUAAUACAGAGGGGGCAAGCGUUAAUCGGAAUUACUGGGCGUAAAGCGCGCGUAGGUGGUUUGUUAAGUUGGAUGUGAAAUCCCCGGGCUCAACCUGGGAACUGCAUUCAAAACUGACUGACUAGAGUAUGGUAGAGGGUGGUGGAAUUUCCUGUGUAGCGGUGAA